UACAGAGGUCUCAAGCGUUGUUCGGAUUCAUUGGGCGUAAAGGGUGUGUAGGUGGCGCGCUAAGUCGGGUGUGAAAUUUCGGAGCUUAACUCCGAAACUGCAUUCGAUACUGGCGCGCUUGAGGACUGGAGAGGAGACUGGAAUUCAUGGUGUAGCAGUGAAAUGCGUAGAGAUCAUGAGGAAGACCAGUGGCGAAGGCGGGUCUCUGGACAGUUCCUGACACUGAGACACGAAGGCCAGGGGGAGCAAAACGGG
rnacentral:rRNA from 1 species